UGGGCAGUAGCUCAGUAGUACAGCUCCAGUUUCAUAUGCAGGAAGACCUGGGUUCAAUUCCCGGCUGCUUUC
rnacentral:tRNA from 1 species